CGUGUGCAAAUGCUAAACUAUUCGACAGUUUUCUUAACUUUUGUUUCGGUAUUUGACAAUUUUUCAAGAAAUGUUCGCACGCCACCCGGGUUUAACGGUAAUUUUUAAUUUAAAUUCUGUUUCUUUUUAGAUUUUAAAUGUUAGAUCAUUAAUGUUCAUUAAUGUCUAAACUACCCGUCUAGUGUAUUUUUUUGUUUGUGUUAGUUACCUUAAAUUAAAUAAUAUAUAUAUAGCGAUGAGUUUGUUUACAAUUUUUGUACACGUGCAUGCGCAGACGUUUUUGCCCGGUGUUACACGCUCAGGUAACACGGCGGAAAAACGUCUGCGCAUGCGUCAACCUUACCUGUAAUAGUAUUGCUAACUUGAUGAGAAGCUGUUCCGAACGUUUCCGAAGGCUCAAAAUGGCAGUAAAAAGGAGUGACUUCAUUGUGCGUCUUUACAGCCAGAUUUCGAGCGUAAAAAUAAACACGUCAUGUCUAAAAACUAGGAAUAAAUACAGCCAGAAGGUUCAAGAAGUUGUAUUGUACAAGAACAUGAACUAAAGGUGAUUGUUGACAAAUUUAUCGUCUGAAAUAUUUUGUUUAUCAACUAAGCAACGACAAUUUCCGAAUUUUCGUUUGAGAUACAUUUCUUUAAAAAAAAC